rnacentral:lncRNA from 1 species
AUGAAGAUGGCCACCCAUUUGUCCCAAGAACGUAUGCACUCAUUUAUGAUUUUGGCAUCAGGAUCAUUUCCCUCAACGAUGGUGAAUCUUUUAACAUUCCAGCAAUUCAGACAAAGAACAGUUGAAGAUAUCUCAGAAAGUUUGUUGACCUCUGGAUUAUAA